rnacentral:rRNA from 1 species
GACGAACGCUGGCGGCGUGCCUAAUACAUGCAAGUAGAACGCACAGUCUAUACCGUAGCUUGCCACACCAUAGACUGUGAGUUGCGAAUGGGUGAUUAACGCGCAGGUAACCUGCCUGGUAGCGGUGCGUAACUACGGGAAACGAUAGCUAAUAUCGCUUAAUAUUAAUUAUUCCAUGAUAAUUAAUUGAAAUGUUCAAUCUCAUCACUACCAGCUGGACCCGCGUUGUAUUAGCUAGUAGGGGAGGUAACGGCUCACCUAGGCGAAGACACAUAGCCGACCUGGGAGGGGGGUCGGCCAAACUGGGACUGGAGAACGGCCCAGACUCCUACGGGGGGCAGCAGUAGGGGAUCUUCGGCAAAGGACGAAAGGCUGGCCGGGCAAAGCCGGGUGGGUGAAGAAAGUUUUCGGGUCGUAAAGAUCUGGUGUUAGGGAAAGAAGAAUGGGGGAAUGGAAUAUGCACGCUGUGACGGUACCUUACCAGAAAGGGACGGCUAACUACGUG